rnacentral:rRNA from 1 species
UACGGGGGGAGCAAGCGUUGUUCGGAUUUACUGGGCGUAAAGGGCGCGUAGGCGGCACUGCAAGUCAGUUGUGAAAUCUCCGGGCUUAACCCGGAAAGGUCAACUGAUACUGCAGGGCUAGAGUGCAGAAGGGGCAACUGGAAUUCUCGGUGUAGCGGUGAAAUGCGUAGAUAUCGGGAGGAACACCUGUGGCGAAGGCGGCCCCCUGGUUGGAUACUGACGCUGAUACGCGAAAGCGUGGGGAGCAAACAGG